rnacentral:rRNA from 1 species
GAUGAACGCUGGCGGCGUGCUUAACACAUGCAAGUCGAACGGAAAGGCCCAAGCUUGCUUGGGUACUCGAGUGGCGAACGGGUGAGUAACACGUGGGUGAUCUGCCCUGCACUUCGGGAUAAGCCUGGGAAACUGGGUCUAAUACCGGAUAGGACCACAUUUUGGAUGGUGUGGUGGAAAGUUUUUCGGUGUGGGAUGAGCUCGCGGCCUAUCAGCUUGUUGGUGGGGUAAUGGCCUACCAAGGCGUCGACGGGUAGCCGGCCUGAGAGGGUGUACGGCCACAUUGGGACUGAGAUACGGCCCAGACUCCUACGGGAGGCAGCAGUGGGGAAUAUUGCACAAUGGGCGCAAGCCUGAUGCAGCGACGCCGCGUGGGGGAUGACGGCCUUCGGGUUGUAAACUCCUUUCGCUAGGGACGAAGCACAAGUGACGGUACCUGGAGAAGAAGCACCGGCUAACUACGUG